rnacentral:rRNA from 1 species
UACGUAGGGAGCAAGUGUUGUCCGGAAUCAUUGGGCGUAAAGCGCGCGUAGGUGGCCUCGUAAGUCCGCUGUGAAAGUCAAAGGCUCAACCUUUGAAAGCCGGUGGAUACUGUGAGGCUAGAGUACGGAAGAGGCGAGUGGAAUUCCUGGUGUAGCGGUGGAAUGCGCAGAUAUCAGGAGGAACACCAAUAGCGAAGGCAGCUCGCUGGGACGUAACUGACACUGAGGCGCGAAAGCGUGGGGAGCGAACAGG